ensembl:lncRNA
CUUCCUCGCCCAUUUGUUCUCGGCGUCAUUUAUCUUCCAACCAGAGUCUAAGAUCUCCCACACCUCUAAUGAGUUAAGAGAAAAACAAAAAGCCUGUGGGGUUUCUUUCUCCCAGAGGGUCUUUUGUGUAUUGCCCUCCCUGAUGGUCGCUGGCUGAGGACACUGGGACUCCCUCUCCUGGAACAACGUCUGAUUAGGGUUGCAGUGGGAUGUGAGUCCUGCCGUGAGCGGUUGUGUCAUCCCAGCCUUCUGGGACCUGGCACCAGCACACUCCUGCCACAGCCACACAGGCUCGGCCCCAGAACUUUUCCAGGUCCUGGUGGCCGAGUCUCCUGGGUGCCUGUUGUGCAGCAGGCACACUCAUGAGCACCCCCCUACACACACACCUGAUCUUCACAACCCCCUGGAGUGGAACCACUGUUCCCAUUCCAAAGGGGAAGAACAAAGACUUCCAGGUUAAGUGUCCCGAGGCAACUUAGCUAGUGAGGGCAGAGCUGGGAUGUAAGCCUGAGCUUUCGAACUCUGGCUUUGCCCCGUCAUUGCUGUCUGUGUCUUCCUGCCUGCGUGCUCGGCUCUGCCUCCUCUCUUUUACACUCGAUGAACCCACUCAACCCCUCAUCACCAGAAGAGAGACAAGAGGAGGAUCCAGAAGAAAACUCCCCCGGUUCUUCCCCGGCCACCUGGAGUCAAGGUCCCCCACAGGCCUGUGCUUUUUAAAAUUAUCCUCAGAAAGAAUCAGUAGCAUUAAUUUUUAACCACUUCUUCCCUCCUGCUUUUCUGCCCUCUUGUUGAUAUUAUUUAACGUGAGGUUUAGGCAGUGUUUCUCUAACAGUAUCUGUCACACUGCGUUUCAGGGGUUUUCUCUCCCUUUGUUCAAGGCAGCUCAUUUCUAUCCAUUCACGAAACAAUCUGUUCGAGACUGCCCUGAACUGAAGGCUUCUUGGUGGCUAUUUUGCUGCCGUGGAAUCCUCAGGGGCAGCUUUGGGGGCCCAGCCAGGGGACAGAGGAAAAUGCAUGUUACCACAGACCAGUGAUGGCUGAACCGAAGAAAGUCAGUCACACUAAAACACAAUCCAUAAAAUAAACAGACUUCAUCAAAAUUAAAACCAUUUGUGCUUCAAAAGACCCCACUAAGAAAAUGAAAAAGCAGGUCACAGACUGGGAGAAAAUAUUUGCAAAUCGUGUAUUUAAUAAAGGACUUGUGUCCAGAAUCUAUGAAGAACACUUAUAACUAGGUAAGAAGGAGACAAAUAACUCAAUUAAAAAUGAGCAAAAGAUUUAAAUAGAUAUUUCAACAAAGAAGAUAUAGACAUAUUUUAGAAGCAUAUGAAAAUGUGCUUCAUGUCAUUACUCAUCAAAGCAAUGCAAAUUAAAACAAAUUACCUUUUUACACUCACUAGAAUGGCUAAAAUGGAGACAAUAACAAGUGUUGAAGAGGAUGAGGAGAAAUGGGAACCUUCACACAUUGCUGAUGGGGACGUCAAAUGGUACAGCCACUUUGGGAAAGGGUUGGGUAGUUCCUUAACAAGUUAAACAUCAACUCACCAUACAACCCAGCAAUUCUGAAGUAGCUGUGCAGGAGAAAUAAACCCAGCAGCUACACAAAGACUUUUAGCGAAUCUUCAUCCCAGUAUUGGUCAUAAUAGUCAAACAUCAAGCCAACUGAAAGAAAGGAGGUGUACAGAAGAGUCCAUACAUACUCCAUUUAUAUGAAAUCUUUAGAGACAGAAAUGAGACUAGUGCCUGAGGCUGAGGGUAGAGUGGAAAUUCACUACAAGUGGGCAUAAGGGAACUUUCUGGGGCAAUAGAAAAGUUCUAAAACUGAGCGUGGUGAUGGUUGCACAACAGCCAACUGGUUAAAAAUAACAACACUUGCAGUGGGUAAAUCUUAUGGCACGUAAACUAGAGAAUUGCUUUUUUUUUUAUUUCAACUUUGCUAAGUUUUUAUCUUUAGCUUUAUUGACUUUUGAACCCAUGAGCCCAUCCUACUUGGUCAUGCAUUUAUUCACUUCUGGGAAAACUCUAGCAUCAUGUGGCAGAGAGGGUCCAAACACCCUGCAUUGUCCUUUGGUGCCAUUUGCCUGCUUGGCCACUGAGGGACAUAAACUACAAAUAGACUUGAAAGUGUAGGUUGAGUUCCUUUAGUGGGCAUACCAAAUUGUGACAGUGUUGGUCAAUGUCUUCAAAAUCUAACACUAAAUAAACAGACACGUUUGAAAUGCUGACUGUUAAACAUGAAAGGUUGUUUUCACUUUGCUCAGUCAAUUAAAAGAUUUAAAGACAAGUGGGAACAAGGCCACAUAUUUUAUCAGGGUCAAAUUUUUUCAUCAAAAUCUGGGUCCUCUGUUACUCGUCAGAUCGGGCCUCCUCUUGCAAAGGGAGCAUCAGCCUAUCCUGGCUGCUUGUUGGUAGGUCAGGAACAUUUGCCAUGUGUCCUCGCCCGUCAAGCAUCAUGUGGCCUCUUCAGGGCUGUGCUAUUUUAGUAAGGGGAAUUAUCCCACUCGGGCAAAGGGCCAGCGGCUGAAGAAACCAGACCUGAAGUGGCUGAUGGACAGACGCCCCUGUUGGGGCUUUCAGUAGCUGGGGUGAAAUUACACUUCCCUGUCAGGCUACCAACACAACUGUUAUUCCGCACAGGUCAGCACUGGGCUCUGUGUGCACACCUGUGGCAGUGACCUGUCAUUACCAAAAACCAUUUAAUGUGUGAAGGUAGCAACCAGAGCAGCAGCUCCCCUGGAGGCCUAUUCAGUGGUCCCGUUCCCAAACUCACUUCUGGAGGCCUGGCCUGCGAUAUACUCCUCCAGCCUUUCCAAAACUUUCUAAGUACAAAAUUCCUUGAAAUAAUGCUCAUCUGAUUAAAAUAUCUAGAAUGGUUUCUGCUCCCUGCAAAUGAUGCCUGAUGAUACACCUCCCCUUGGGAAGGGAGUGGAGUGAAGCUCGGGGCACAUCAACAACCAGGCUGCAACCUCCCUUUGGACAUCCCGUUGUGAACUCCCGGAGGCAGGCCUCGUUUCCAGCCGGGCCGAGCUCUUCCAGAGCUGCUGUGUCCUUGUCAUGCUCCAUCACGUGAAAAGGGCCCACUGUGCUUGGAACAGCGCAGUUCCCUAAGAAGGAAGAUGAUCUCUUCAUCUAUAUAUUUUUACAUACUCAAGAACCUAUCCAGUGUUUUAUUUACUUGACUAAUGACAUUCCCAACUGAAAAGCACUGACCCAGUCCCUUGACUCAUCUUUGAACUGGCCUCAGGAGCAGGCAGAGAGGUGGAAAACCUUCAGCAGCCUGAGACGAGCAGUUUCUCUCCAGAAUAUUCACUCCACCGACUACCACUGCAUCCCAGAGGGAUGGAUUCUUGGCUUGGUUUCGUUCACUGACAAAAUGCAGACAGCCCAGUCAUGUGAAAGUUGAGCCUCUGGCCCAGAAGCCCUCACCCGAGCUCAUCCUGACCUGUCUUCGGAGCAGGUUUUGACGAAAGGAAGCAGAGAGAACACAAGGGCCGUGGCCAGCAGCACGGAGGAAUGUGUGUGGCCUCCCUCCCCUCCCCCAAGCCACCCCACAUAAAAUAAGAGAAAUAUUGUUUGAGGUGAAUAAUUAACUUUCUCUUAAUAUUGUGUAAAGUAUACAUAAAAACUUCCUUUGGAAACUCUGCUAUUUGUCUUGCUUGAUAAUAGACUCUAAGCAAAAAAUGGUUUGCUCGCUCUAGAGAUGCAACUUUAAGACAAGUCCUGCAGCCGCUCCUUCCACUCGGUUUGCUGCCCCGAGG